UAGACACUUGAUCUGAUCCAAAACACACACAUACAUUAUUACUGUGGAGCUCUGUGAUACACACUGACAUUAUUACUGUGGAGCUCUGUGAUACACACUGACAUUACUACUGUUUUAUUGCUGUGGAGCUCUGUGAUACACACUGACAUUAUUACUGUGGAGCUCUGUGAUACACACUGACAUUAUUACUGUUUUAUUGCUGUGGAGCUCUGUGAUACACACUGACAUUAUUGCUGUGGAGCUCUGUGAUACACACUGACAUUAUUACUGUGGAGCUCUGUGAUACACACUGACAUUAUUACUGUUUUGUUGCUGUGGAGCUCUGUGAUACACACUGACAUUAUUACUGUUUUAUUGCUGUGGAGCUAUGUGAUAUACUGUGGCAAACCUAGCCACUUAAG